rnacentral:rRNA from 1 species
AGCUACGGCUGACGAGCAUGCAGUCACUACGGAGAGUGGGGCGACUCACUCUCAGUGGCAAACGGGUGAGUAAGCGUGAGUAACCUGCCUUUGAGAAGGGGAUAACUGACCGAAAGGAUAGCUAAUACCCUAUAUUGCCUUUUGUCACUAAGGCAAAAGGUGAAAGCGAGGCUGUCAAAGAGUUCGGCUCAAAGAGGGGUUCGCGUCCUAUCAAGUAGUUGGUGGGGUAACGGCCUACCAAGCCAAUGACGGGUAACUGGUCUUAGAGGAUAAUCAGCCACAGUGGGACUGAGACACGGCCCGCACCCCUACGGGGGGCAGCAGUGGGGAAUCGUGGGCAAUGGGCGCAAGCCUGACCCCGCAAUGCCGCGUGAGGGAAGAAGCCCUUCGGGGUGUAAACCUCUGUCAGAUGGGAAGAUGGGACUAGGGGCUAAUACCUCCUAGUCUUGACGGUACCAUCAGAGGAAGGGACGGCUAACUACGUGCCAGCAGCCGCGGUAAU